rnacentral:rRNA from 1 species
CCUACGGGUGGCUGCAGUGGGGAAUAUUGGACAAUGGGGGGAACCCUGAUCCAGCCAUGCCGCGUGUGUGAAGAAGGCCCUCGGGUUGUAAAGCACUUUCAGUGAGGAAGAACGCCUGGUGGUUAAUACCCAUCAGGAAAGACAUCACUCACAGAAGAAGCACCGGCUAACUCCGUGCCAGCAGCCGCGGUAAUACGGAGGGUGCGAGCGUUAAUCGGAAUUACUGGGCGUAAAGCGCGCGUAGGUGGCUUGAUAAGCCGGUUGUGAAAGCCCCGGGCUCAACCUGGGAACGGCAUCCGGAACUGUCCAGCUAGAGUGCAGGAGAGGAAGGUAGAAUUCCCGGUGUAGCGGUGAAAUGCGUAGAGAUCGGGAGGAAUACCAGUGGCGAAGGCGGCCUUCUGGACUGACACUGACACUGAGGUGCGAAAGCGUGGGUAGCAAACAGGAUUAGAUACCCGGGUAGUC